rnacentral:rRNA from 1 species
CCUACGGGGGGCAGCAGUGGGGAAUAUUGGACAAUGGGGGGAACCCUGAUCCAGCGACGCCGCGUGAGUGAAGAAGUAUUUCGGUAUGUAAAGCUCUAUCAGCAGGGAAGAAAGAAAUGACGGUACCUGACUAAGAAGCCCCGGCUAACUACGUGCCAGCAGCCGCGGUAAUACGUAGGGGGCAAGCGUUAUCCGGAUUUACUGGGUGUAAAGGGGGCGUAGACGGCGAUGCAAGUCUGAAGUGAAAGGCGGGGGCCCAACCCCCGGACUGCUUUGGAAACUGUAUGGCUGGAGUGCAGGAGAGGUAAGUGGAAUUCCUAGUGUAGCGGUGAAAUGCGUAGAUAUUAGGAGGAACACCAGUGGCGAAGGCGGCUUACUGGACUGUAACUGACGUUGAGGCUCGAAAGCGUGGGGAGCAAACAGGAUUAGAUACCCCAGUAGUC